GUAAAAGUCGUAACAAGGUUUUCGUAGGUGAACCUGCGGAAGGAUCAUUAAUGAAUACACAAGAGUGCUCGCAAGAGGCUCGUUUCAUUUAAUCACACACACUUUGUGCACUUGAAAUCAGCUGUCUGAACCUUUCGGGGUGAUGCGGCUCCUUUCACACACUUUGCUAUUGAAGGAUCACGAAUGUAAAUUCAUAACAAACGAAAGUACAACUUUCAGCAACGGAUUUCUUGGCUCUCGCAUCGAUGAAGAACGCAGCGAAAUGCGAUACGUAAUGUGAAUUGCAGAACUCAGUGAAUCAUCGAAUUUUUGAACGCACCUUGCACUCUUUGGUUAUUCCGAAGAGUAUGCUUGUUUGAGUGUCGCGAAAUUCUCAACCCCGCCAAGGGCUUUAUUGACUUUGGUUGUUUGGGCUUGGAUCUUGGUUGUUUGCCGUAUGCUUAGGCUCUGGCUCGACUUAAGUACAGCAAGCUGAAUGAACGCACUAAUGCGGUUUGACCUGAUGUUGUAGUUACAAUUCAUCGGGGACGCACAUAGAAGGUUCAACGAGCUUUAACAAAUUUAACAUUGGACUUGUCCAGUGCAUUAUGACCUCAAAUCAAGUAGGACUACCCGCUGAACUUAAGCAUAUCAAUAAGCGGAGGAAAAGAAACUAACAAGGAUUCCCCUAGUAACGGCGAGUGAAGUGGGAAGAGCUCAACUUUGUAAUCUGGCUGUUUUGCAGUCCGAGUUGUAGUCUAGAGAAGCAGUGUCCGCGCAGGCCCUUAUAUAUUUCAGUUGGAAUGCCGAGUCAUAGAGGGUGAGAAUCCCGUACAUGAUAAGGAGGCCUUGUGCAUUGUGAUGCGCUUUCAAAGAGUCGAGUUGUUUGGGAAUGCAGCUCAAAUUGGGUGGUAAAUUCCAUCUAAAGCUAAAUAUUGGCGAGAGACCGAUAGCGAACAAGUACCGUGAGGGAAAGAUGAAAAGCACUUUGGAAAGAGAAUGAAAUAGUACAUGAAAUUGCUGAAAGGGAAACGAUUGAAGUCAGACUUGCGCGGUUGGUAUUCAGCCUUGAUUUCGAUCUUGGUGCAUUUGCCUUCCAUUGCAGGCCAACAUCAGUUUACUUCGCUGUAAAAGGGUUUGGGGAAUGUGGCUCUUUCGGGAGUGUUAUAGCCCCUUGCUGGAUGCAGAGUCGUGGACUGAGGANNNCAGCGCCCCUUUUAGGCGAGGCUUUCGGGCUUUGAGCGCUAAGGAUGUUGGUUGAAUGGCUUUAAACGACC
rnacentral:rRNA from 1 species